CUCCCGUUGAUCCCGCCGGACCCGACUGCUAUCGGAUUGAGAUUUAGCCAUGCGAGUCGAACGUCCCCCUGUUGCGGGGGGCGUGGCGUACGGCUCAGUAACACGUAGUCAACCUGCCCUGGAGACAAGGACAACCCCGGGAAACUGGGAUUAAUCCUUGAUAGGUCAUCUCAUCUGGAAGGAGAGAUGGCUUAAAGGGGUACGCGGGCUUCUUCCGCGAAUCUGCUCCAGGAUGGGACUGCGUCCGAUCAGGCUGUUGGCGGGGUAAUGGCCCACCAAACCUGUAACCGGUACGGGCCUUGAGAGAGGUGGCCCGGAGAUGGACACUGAGAGAAGGGUCCAGGUCCUACGGGGCGCAGCAGGCGCGAAACCUUCGCAAUGCGCGAAAGCGUGACGAGGUUAAUCCGAGUGACUCCCGCUGAGGGGGUCUUUUGUCAGCUGUAAAUAGGCAGGCGAAUAAGGGGAGGGCAAGCCUGGUGUCAGCCGCCGCGGUAAUACCAGCUCCUCGAGUGGUCGGGGCGAUUAUUGGGCCUAAAGCAUCCGUAGCCGGUUCCGUAGGUCCUCUGUUAAAUCCAACCGCUUAACGGUUGACCUGCAGAGGAUACCGCGGGACUAGGAGGCGGGAGAGGCGGACGGUACUCCGCGUGUAGGGGUAAAAUCCUUUGAUCCGCGGAAGACCACCAGUGGCGAAGGCGGUCCGCCAGAACGCGCUCGACGGUGAGGGAUGAAAGCUGGGGGAGCGAACCGGAUUAGAUACCCGGGUAGUCCCAGCCGUAAACGAUGCUAGCUAGAUGAUUCAUUCGCAAGUCGCGAAUGAAGUGUCGCAGGGAAGCCGUUAAGCUAGCCGCCUGGGGAGUACGGUCGCAAGACUGAAACUUAAAGGGAUUGGCGGGGGAGCA
rnacentral:rRNA from 1 species